rnacentral:rRNA from 1 species
UACGGGGAGGUGCAAGCGUUGUCCGGAAUCACUGGGCGUAAAGGGCGCGUAGGCGGCUCAUGAAGGCUGUGGUGAAAGUCCGGGGCUCAACCUCGGAUCGGCCGUGGCGACUCGUGGGCUGGAGCACUGUAGAGGCGGGGUGGAAUUCCGGGUGUAGCGGUGGAAUGCGGUAGAGAUCCGGAAGAACACCGGUGGCGAAGGCGGCCCGCUGGGCAGUGGCUGACGCUGAAGCACGAAAGCGUGGGGAGCAAACAGGG